CUAUANAUGCAGUCGAGCGAUGGAUUGAGAGCUUGCUCUNAUGAAGUUAGCGGCGGACGGGUGAGUAACACGUGGGUAACCUGCCCAUAAGACUGGGAUAACUCCGGGAAACCGGGGCUAAUACCGGAUAAUAUUUUGAACUGCAUGGUUCGAAAUUGAAAGGCGGCUUCGGCUGUCACUUAUGGAUGGACCCGCGUCGCAUUAGCUAGUUGGUGAGGUAACGGCUCACCAAGGCAACGAUGCGUAGCCGACCUGAGAGGGUGAUCGGCCACACUGGGACUGAGACACGGCCCAGACUCCUACGGGAGGCAGCAGUAGGGAAUCUUCCGCAAUGGACGAAAGUCUGACGGAGCAACGCCGCGUGAGUGAUGAAGGCUUUCGGGUCGUAAAACUCUGUUGUUAGGGAAGAACAAGUGCUAGUUGAAUAAGCUGGCACCUUGACGGUACCUAACCAGAAAGCCACGGCUAACUACGUGCCAGCAGCCGCGGUAAUACGUAGGUGGCAAGCGUUAUCCGGAAUUAUUGGGCGUAAAGCGCGCGCAGGUGGUUUCUUAAGUCUGAUGUGAAAGCCCACGGCUCAACCGUGGAGGGUCAUUGGAAACUGGGAGACUUGAGUGCAGAAGAGGAAAGUGGAAUUCCAUGUGUAGCGGUGAAAUGCGUAGA
rnacentral:rRNA from 1 species